AAAAAAAAAAAACACGUGGAUAACCUACCUAUAAGACUGGGAUAACUUCGGGAAACCGGAGCUAAUACCGGAUAAUAUAUUGAACCGCAUGGUUCAAUAGUGAAAGACGGUUUUGCUGUCACUUAUAGAUGGAUCCGCGCCGCAUUAGCUAGUUGGUAAGGUAACGGCUUACCAAGGCAACGAUGCGUAUCCGACCUGAGAGGGUGAUAGGCAACACGGGAACUGAGACACGGUCCAGACUCCUACGGGAGGCAGCAGUAGGGUAUCUUCCGCAAUGGGCGAAAGCCUGACGGAGCAACGCCGCGUGAGUGAUGAAUGUCUUUUGAUUUUUGAAUGCUG
rnacentral:rRNA from 1 species